rnacentral:tRNA from 2 species
GGGCGCAUAGCUCAGUUGGUAGAGCAGCUGACUCUUAAUCAGCGGGUCCAGGGUUCGAAUCCCUGUGCGCCCCCCA